rnacentral:rRNA from 1 species
AUUGAACGCUGGAGGCAGGCAUAACACAUGCAAGUCGAACGCGUGGCGGACGGGUGAGUAAUGUCUGGGAAACUGCCUGAUGGAGGGGGAUAACUACUGGAAACGGUAGCUAAUACCGCAUACCAUCGGAUGUGCCCAGCUGGGAUUAGCUAGUAGGGGGGGUAAAGGCUCACCUAGGCGACGAUCCCUAGCUGGUCUGAGAGGAUGACCAGCCACACUGGAACUGAGACACGGUCCAGACUCCGACGGGAGUCAGCAGUGGGGAAUAUUGCACGAUGGGCGCAAGCCGGAGGCAGCACUGCCGCGUGUAUGAAGAAGGCCUUCGGGUUUUAAAGUAAUUUCAGCGGGGAGGCGUUACCCGCAGAAGAAGCACAGGCUAACUCCGUGCCAGCCGCCGCGGUAAUAC